ensembl:lncRNA
ACAUCAACACCGUUAGAAGAGACAUCAAAUAAUCCAACAGGAGGUAGUGACUGAAUUUCUCUCUGAAUGUCAGACUGACAGUUGAAUCUUUGUGGGAAAAUUCAGGAUUAUGUUUAACUUAUAUUAAUAAUAUUUUCAGUUCAGUCAUGGUUUAUCAUCGUUCCUGUGGGUUUAGCAGCACUGUUAGUUGUUGUGGUGAUCAUCAUAUGGAAGAAAACUAAAGGUGAGAAGACUCACAGAUUAAAGUUGAUCAUAAAUGGAAAUAAGGAAG